UCAGAUAGCUCAGUCAGUAGAGCAUGAGACUCUCAGGGUCAUGGGUUUGAGCCCCACAUUGGGGAAAA